UGUGUGCAUACCUCCCUGAGGGCAACACGCGGUGGACGUGGUGUGUAUUGUGAAAACACGGCUUUCAAGCUAAGGAGGUCUAGAAUCCUCGUGAUUGAUAUCAAGUGAUUCUUUUCUUAUAUUAUUCAGCAAUUUGGCCAUGUUUAUAGACGUCGCCGUGAAAGGUCCUUACAGAAUGAGAAACAUCACACAGAUGCUUUUCGUCAAGUGAUAACAGGGUGACAAGGCUUUCUUGGAAAAUCAGGAACAGUAGAUCACCGGAAUACGGAACAUUCAAGCUGACUGUUGUUUUACGAUGACAGUUGAUCUUUAAGGAGAGCAAGCAUUCUGGUGAAUUGAUUUGAAUGACAAAUACAACGGGAGAUCCAAACGAAA